AGCUUUUCGAAUCCGUGCAGAUUUCGCCUGACACCUACUCAUUAGGGCUGAUCAGACUUCCAAGAUAAGUGAAGUU
rfam:Schistosoma margrebowiei strain Zambia genome assembly, scaffold: SMRZ_scaffold0003970